rnacentral:misc_RNA from 1 species
AUCACUCGGUCAGUUCAGUGUGAAGCGGCGGCGCGCGCGCACGUGUUAUAAAAAAAACAUAAAGUUGUGUGUGAAAAAUGUUUUAACAAAGUGUUUUGUGUGGUUCAUCUUUAUUGGAAUCCUGAACGAUGCAGACUGUUUUCCACUAAACACAAAGAAAUGGAACCCGGUAACCGAAAAAAAAACUACGGAUCUAGCUAGUGGAAGCCGCUUCAAAAGACAUCAAUAUUUUGUUAAUGACGUGCGGAAUAAUGAUUUAGGAACAAAUUCCGAUAUACCUAAUAGUCAGUGGAUUGGACAAUUAUCGCAAAUCCCAAAUAACGAUAUACUACGGCCGACAUUUGACGGUAGUUUAUUAGUCUCACCUCCAGCGGAGGAUGAGGAAGUUGAUUAAUUCAGCCAAUAUAAACAGAAGCAGUCCAGAGCGUGAUAGGCCGAGAUCAUCCUCUUAUCUACCCUUCUGCGGCGCGGCUCGGCGCGGCGUUUAACAGUAUUAUCGUCGUGGGACACACUGCAGCCCAAGCCUUCCCCGUGUAUGAAACGGUCGCCAAUGACAUGGAGUUUGGUCCUUCGAGCCCGAUCGCCGCAAGGGACGGGACACAGUUCUGGAAACAUUUAAUGCACCCCAUGUUUGAUAGGCUAAUCCUGAACGAUGCAGACUGUUUUCCACUAAACACAAAGAAAUGGAACCGGGUAACCGAAAAAAAAACUACGGAUCUAGCUAGUGGAAGCCGCUUCAAAAGACAUCAAUAUCAUGUUCAUGAUGUGCGGAACAAUGAUUUAGGAAGAAAUUCCGAUAUACGUAAUAGUCAGUGGAUUGAACAAUUAUCGCAAAUCCCAAAUAACGAAAUACUACGGCCGACAUUUGACGGGAGUUUAUUAGUCUCACCUCCAGCGGAGGAUGAGGAAGUUGAUUAAUUCAGCCAAUAUAAACAGAAGCAGUCCAGAGCGUGAUAGGCCGAGAUCAUCCUCUUAUCGACCCUUCUGCGGCGCGGCUCGGCGCGGCGUUUAACAGUAUUAUGUAACGUAUUGAUAUCAAGUACAAUUAUUGUAAUAUAUGUGUGUGUCUAGUCUUUGUGUGUUUUAUUGGUACAGUCAGCCCACGAAUGUAGCUGAACAAAUUAAAAAUUCCAAAACGCACAAACUGUUUAGUGGAGCUUAUGAAUGCAAUUUACUGGAACAAAUCAAUAUAAUUGUUCCUUACAAUUUUCCCAGACACCCACUAAACAAAAUUCAUCAGGGCCCUCCAUAUAGAUCGAAUCAAGGGCUCCAUUCACCGUUUAACCGGACAUGCGAUAGUUAUAGUAUGAUGUGCACUAAAUUAUCUGAUCUUGACAUAUUCUCCGAUUCCUUAAAAAUAUGCAAAAAUAAAAUGCUGACAUUGUUUUUCUCUCAAACCAUAGCCGAUGUGGACCAAGUAUUUUGUUAUUAAUAAUAUUUAUGGUAUGUUGGAAUUGAUGUUAUUAAAAUGGUAUUUGGUGGGUUUAAGAUAUGAUAUCCAGGUUCUUGGAAUUGGUUAUAUGUUGUUUUUUUUUUAAUAUUUUAUAUUAAUGUUUAAAUUUGUUAACCAUAUUACCUUGAUUAAAUAAGCGCUAAUUUCUAGUGUCAUACUAUUAUGACAGUCUGUUUGUAAUAAGUGUAUAUUUUGUGAAUGUUGGUACAUCUUUAUUUGGUAAGCACAUAAGAACAAUACAAUACUAAGAAAA